UGAUGGAAUCAAGAUGGGGAGAUUAUGAAAAUCUUUUCUCUCUCCUUUCUUAUUUUUCCUCUCUUUCCUUGUUCCUUUUUCCGUUUUCCAUUUUUAUCAUUUUCGAUCUCCUCCUUAAAAUCACUCAUCAUGACCUCCUUUACAACCGUUGCAUAUUGUCAGUUACACUUGUUCUUACUUCAUCUUGUUAAUACCUUCUUAUUUCGCCAGUCCUGAUUUUCGCAUAAAAUUAGUAAAAUUCUCAUUUCAUAUCCCCAAAAUUCUCCCUCUUCCUUUUAUAUUUAAUUUGCCAUCCCAAUACUUUCAUAAUCAUCCCAUAAAUUCAUCACAUAUAGUAUAAUCUAUAGGAGUCCCAAAAAAAAAAAAAAGGAGGAGGAGAAGGAGAAUAGAACUCCCAUUAACUAUAUAUAAUAUAAAACUAGGCAUAGACAAGAUGAUGUGACACCUCUAUAUGACCUAGAAUGCUAUUUAUCUUUUUUUUCUCAAUUUUUUUGACUUUUUUCCUCUUUUUCUUCACCUAUGUGCUAUUACAAAAAAUAUAUUAAAAAGUCACUUCUUAAAAAAAUUACUCAAUGUUAACUACCAUUUAUUGUGUUUUCCUGUCUUUAGUAACCUUUAAGACCACCAUUAUCAUUUCAAUUAAAAAGAAUAUGGCACCUAAGAAUCCCUUCAAACAAUCCUUUUUAUAGACGAACUCUAAAAUUGAGUUCGUGCAGCCAUUGCUGAAAGGAAAAGAAGAAGUCUAAAGGUUUGAUUUAGCUCGGAAGGGGACUCGAAGAUUAGCGUGAGGCGUAAAUAAGGUAUGUAAGGCAGACCUUUCUUCCUUUGGCAUGAUUCUUGUUGUUAUUCAUUCUAUAAGUACUCUAUAUGAUUCUAUUCUUGGACGAGUAAGGUCUAAAUGUUUCUUGUGAUGGCUUAUUGAUAUUGUACUCCUAUUCUAUUCCGAAGGGAACACCCAUAAGGUGCCAAGUUGAGUUGUGUAUAUGGUUUUACUAAUGAUUUCGAGGAAAUGAGUUUUAUACUAAAGGAAACAUGAAGUUUGAUUUUCAAAACCACUCUGAAGGGGGUGCGAUAUUUUACUACUUGAUUUCAUUUACGAUUUAUGUUUACAUUCCAUAGUAUCACCCCUUUGUAUUGAUAUGAUCAUUUAUUCGUUGGGUAGGGCAAUAAGAUGAAUUUGAGUAAACUACAAAUAGUAAGAAUCUCAUAACAAUUCUACCCUCAAACCUGGAAGUAUGUCCUCCUAAGUCUAGUGAGAUACAAAUUUGAUAACUUCUUAUGAAAGACUAAGGCUAAUAACUGGUUUGUGAUGAAUUGAUUAGUGACUUAUGAUAUGAAUUGAAAUUGAUAUUUGUGGAUUGAGUUUGUGUUGAUAUGAUGGUGAUAUUAAGCCGGAAGCGGCUGCCCGAAGGGGCCAUCAUUAUUAUGCCGAAAGCAGCGUCUGAAGGGACUAUUGUGAUACUAGCUGGAAGCGGCUGUCCGAAGGGAUCAUUCUGUUAAUAUGUCGGAAGCCAUGUGUUGGAUUGCAUUAUUUACUUAAAGAUUGUUUUGAGACUUCGUGUGCACAUUUAUAUUUCUUCCAACGAAGGCUGCAGGUAUUGAGUUAGAUUGUGGUUUCUUCUGUCCUAAGUCAAAUUAUGAUUGUGAUUUGUUAGAACCUUACAUACUCAGUACAUUGUCCGUACUGACGUACUUUUGCCUGGGAACAUUGCGUUCAUGCCCGCAGCCCCAGAUUGUUUGGCAGGUUAAGUAUAUAGCUAGGAUGCUUGGACGUCAGCUGGGAUUGGCAAGUUCCACCUCAUUCUGGAGCUGUGUAUAGAUAUGUAUGAUUAUAGGUAUGUCAGGGCCCUGUCCUGACUCAUAAUGUUCAGUUUACUUCUUAGAAACUUCUGCAGACAGUGUCUUGUGAUAUGUUUGUCGAGAUGUCGACAAAGUGAUGUUAGUUGAGUCAUUUGUGGAUUUUAAAAGAGUAUGUAUUUUAGAUGAUUUCAAUUGGUUUAAAGUACUUAUUUGAUUGAAAGUUUUCAUAAUCGUUAUAAAGAUAAUAA